rnacentral:rRNA from 1 species
GGUGCUAGCUUGCUAGAACUUAGAGACAGGUGCUGCACGGCUGUCGUCAGCUCGUGUCGUGAGAUGUUGGGUUAAGUCCCGCAACGAGCGCAACCCACGUAUUUAGUUGCUAACGGUUCGGCCGAGCACUCUAAAUAGACUGCCUUCGUAAGGAGGAGGAAGGUGUGGACGACGUCAAGUCAUCAUGGCCCUUAUGCCCAGGGCGACACACGUGCUACAAUGGCAUAUACAAUGAGACGCAAUACCGCGAGGUGGAGCAAAUCUAUAAAAUAUGUCCCAGUUCGGAUUGUUCUCUGCAACUCGAGAGCAUGAAGCCGGAAUCGCUAGUAAUCGUAGAUCAGCCAUGCUACGGUGAAUACGUUCCCGGGUCUUGUACUCACCGCCCGUCACACCAUGGGAGUUGAUUUCACUCGAAGCCGGAAUACUAAACUAGUUACCGUCCACAGUGGAAUCAGCGACUGGGGUGAAGUCGUAACAAGGUAACCGUAGGAGAACCUGCGGUUGGAUCACCUCCUUU